rnacentral:sRNA from 1 species
GCGCUAUGACGUGUUCUUCUUCAAACGA